UAAGAACCCCGACUUCGGAAGGGGUGUAUUUAUUAGAUACAAAACCAAUGCCCUUCGGGGCUCUUUGGUGAUUCAUGAUAACUAUACGAAUCGCACGGCCUUGCGCCGGCGAUGGUUCAUUCAAAUUUCUUCCCUAUCAACUUUCGAUGUUUGGGUAUUGGCCAAACAUGGUUGCAACGGGUAACAGAGGGUUAGGGCUCGACCCCGGAGAAGGAGCCUGAGAAACGGCUACUACAUCCAAGGAAGGCAGCAGGCGCGCAAAUUACCCAAUCCCGACUCGGGGAGGUAGUGACAAUAAAUACUGAUACAGGGCCCUUUCGGGCCUUGUAAUUGGAAUGAGUACAAUUUAAAUCCCUUAACGAGGAACAAUUGGAGGGCAAGUCUGGUGCCAGCAGCCGCGGUAAUUCCAGCUCCAAUAGCGUAUAUUAAAGUUGUUGUGGUUAAAAAGCUCGUAGUUGAACCUUGGGCCUGGCUGGCCGGUCCGCCUCACCGCGUGCACUGGUCCGGCCGGGCCUUUCCCUCUGUGGAACCCCAUACCCUUCACUGGGCGUGGCGGGGAAACAGGACAUUUACUUU
rnacentral:rRNA from 1 species